GUGGCUCAAGAAGAAGAAGAAAAGAAGCAUGAAGAACAAAUGGAAUGAAAGAUUGCACAAUACAAAUGUUGAUGCAUACCACAAGGUUAAUAUGGUGGCAAAUGAAGUUGGAGGCAGCAUGAAUCAUCCAGACAUAGCAUUUUUUGAUUUUAAUACAAUACUUACAGCGACUAACAAUUUCUCUCCAGCUAAUAAGCUGGGACAAGGUGGUUUUGGCUUGGUUUACA
rnacentral:misc_RNA from 1 species